CCAGACUCCUACGGGAGGCAGCAGUGGGGAAUAUUGGGCAAUGGAGGGAACUCUGACCCAGCAACGCCGCGUGAAGGAUGAAGGUUUUCGGAUUGUAAACUGCUGUCGCGAGGGAUGAAGAAUGACGGUACCUCGUAAGAAAGCCCCGGCAAACUACGUGCCAGCAGCCGCGGUAAUACGUAGGGGGCGAGCGUUGUCCGGAUUUAUUGGGUGUAAAGGGCGUGUAGGCGGGAAUGCAAGUCAGAUGUGAAAACUAUGGGCUCAACCCAUAGCCUGCAUUUGAAACUGUAUUUCUUGAGUGCUGGAGAGGCAAUCGGAAUUCCGUGUGUAGCGGUGAAAUGCGUAGAUAUACGGAGGAACACCAGUGGCGAAGGCGGAUUGCUGGACAGUAACUGACGCUGAGGCGCGAAAGCGUGGGGAGCAAACAGGAUUAGAUACCCCAGUAC
rnacentral:rRNA from 1 species